UGGCGACGCCUCAGGGGCUUCGCCUAAUAUUAUAGUGUACGACCGUUUGACAAAAAUUCCCAGAAUUUCGCAGGCAUGUCAGGAAUUUUUACACGCAUGCACAGUUGCAUCAUCCCUUUAGAGGGGAAUAACUCGGAAAUGGAUUGACGGAUCUUAAUGGUAUUUGGAAUAUAGAUGGCUUCAGAGAUCCCUUACAUAAUUAAAUGCUAAUCAUUCAGACAAUGGGCUAAUUUGCAAGAAUGUACAGAACUUUAACAAGCCCGCGCACUCGCAAACUUACCUCAUAGGCCCUGUGAGAAUUUGGUUACGUGCGCAGCGCAUGGCGAGAGUGUGCCAUCAGUCGGCGUUUUUGUCGUAAACUCGCAAUUUGUAAAUCCAGCACCCACUCAUCGGGUGAUACCGAACGGACCGCACUUUCGGACCUUUCCCAGCUUUUCUCGAAAAGGUAGCAACGUGCGAAUUUCGGCAUCUUCUUCGUCACUAAUCUACCUACCUAUGAUAUUAAUCUGAUUUUAGUUACAACUUCGAGAAAUUUUCUAACGUUAUCAUGAAAGUUAACGGCCCGUUUAAAGCUUCGCAGGAAGUUUGAAUCCGCCUUUGCCGCAAUUCGGUCAUUUUGUCGUAAAUGGGCCAGGCCAAUUUCAACAGACCACGCCGAUUUCCCGAGCGCACGUUUUGGAAAAUUUCUGCCCCCAGGCGGUCAAGAAAAAGUCACCACCACCUACGUUUCAGUUGGAAGGAGGGAAAAGAUAACAAGAGCACAGUAGCGGAUGGCAAGAUGCUGAGACCUGUUUGUGAGAACCACAUUGAUGAUGAGUGUUUCAAUAUAUAGGAAGGACAGCCACUUGCUACAGAAUAAGUAUGUGUGGGUUGAUCCCGUAAGGCUUCCGAACAAGAGACUUCCUGGAUAGGAUACCAGCAUGAUCAGGGUGCUAACCUCCUUCUCAGCCUUCCACGAGUGCUGGCGGUUAUUGUUGGGGAGAGGGCUGAUUUAAGAUUUUCAACAUUUAUGGGCCAGGUUUUUAUGUCGUGAAGAUCAUGUUUGCGCCCGCUAGAACUUAAUAGAAGACCUGCAAUCUUUCUGCAUCCUCCAAAGCAAUAAAGAUUAAGAUUGUCUUUCAAAGGCCAAUUAAUGUUCCUGCAAAAAGUAAUCCAUGGUGCCACCCACACGGUGUCGUGAGAAGCCAACCUCAUGCACAAAGUGAAUCGACACAUGCCAUCUUGCAAAUGUUGGUCAUAUUUCUAUAAAUUGUGUGUCAAUCUUUCAUCAAUACCAAAUGAUAUCAACCAUGCCUUUCAGCCUCAGAAAAAUGGUGUUAGGGCAUGGCACCUAACCAACUGACAGCCAAUCAGAGAAAUGUCUUUGUGUGGUCCAAAGGCACCAUAUAAGGCACUUCAUUAAUAUUCAAGAGCAUGAUGACAGUGCUGACAUAACGUAAUACAGUUCUUUCAGCGUCAGACUUGUUCAUCAGAUACCGAAUUUAAAAUUUGUCAGUUCUGUGGGAAGAGGGCACCACAGCACCACCAAAUACCAACCGAGCAUACGAAGUAACCAUUAUCAUUAGGCAAAAAUAAACAGGUGCACACCAUGCCAUAUGCCGUUUCUUCAAAAUUUGCAAUCUGGCUGCUGAUUGGCCUGCGACAAAUCUUGGCGACAAAUCUUGACGAUAGCUACCUCUUCAGACUUCAGUAUUGUUUUCGUAAAUGCACCGUGAUAUAACAAUUAUAUGUUAUGAACAACUAACGCCUCAUUACCUUUGCCAAGAAGAUUGUUUUAUUUGUACAUGUAACUUAUUAUAAGUAUUAUGUAUGUAGAAGACGAGCAUAAUUCGAGAAUGCCUAGGUGGGUGUAUUGAUACACAGUAUGUGAUCCGGUCUUGAUGAGACCCUGAUAGUGAAACAGUCAGAUGUUGGGCCCCCUAGCAUCUUCUGUUGCAUUCUAGGAUUAUUCCAACAUGUGACAUGUGUAACUGAUAAAGAGAAGAAUGUUGAUAGAUAGUUAUUAUGCAAGUACAGGUGAACAUCAUUGGAAUUUAUGCAAGGGGGGACCUUAUGUGCACACAUGAGACAUCAGUUGUAAAGAUUAAAGCCAUUUGGAUCUAAUGUAUGGGGUCGUGAAACGUAAGCUUUUUAUUCAAUCCUCUUCAUGCUCGCUUUCUAGUACCGAAACAAAAAUAUGUAUUAGAUGGAAUUCUGUUGAUUCAGAAGUGUUCUAUAUGUAUUUGAAUGUCAGAAAAUCACCAAUAUUGUGUAAAGUAUACGUUAUCAGUCUGGUGAUGUCACACUUCUUUGCUGCUGUAUUGGUUAGCUACCAACCAUCUUCUAAUACACCUGUAACACAUGUGCACAAAUGACUUAUGUUAUAUGUGAUUUGUUGUUAAAAUCAAAGUACAUAAAAUCAUGUCUUGAACAUUAGAUGCAUAAUGUGUUAUGUUUAGAGUCCCCUUAUGUUCACCAAUAGUCCACAUUUCACAAGAACUUUAUGUUAAAUGUAUGUAUUUGUCAAUAUCAAUGCUAUACUGUAUGUGUCAGAUGUAUCUUAAGUUGAAAUAUGUAUACAUGUGUAUGGCCUAUGCAUAAGUCUAUAUUAUUGUAUUGCACUGUACAUAUGUUAAUUCAUUGUAAAUGUUCCUUGUCAUUAUAUGUACAAAGUAAGUAUAUUAUUUUGUUGUAAAUUUGGCAUACAUGAAAGUAAUACAUAUGAAGUUUUAUUGAAGAAA